GCAGAGUGGAACAUGGCGGCCUCCUUGCCGCUUGCGUUACCAGAGUCCACCCGGCCUCGUGCUUUCUCCGGGCGCCCGUAGCUGGCGCCGGCAUCCACAAAAAUAGAUCAGACCCUGAGAGCCUACUGACCACAGCAGCUCCUGUUACCACGGCUGCCGUUUCUGCUCUCAAUGCUACUGCUCAUUGAUCCCAGGGAGGAAAAUUCUGGUGCAUCACUUAGUAUUUAUUUCAGAUUUCAACCAAAACAACAUAUUGCAAGAUUGAAUGCAGAAGUAGAUGUGAGAACUCAUUCUAUUAAGCCAAGCGUAAAUGUUUAAAAAUGUAAAAUAAUACCACUCUUCUGAUAUGUUUUGGGAGAAAAUAUGUUUGUGGAAAAUAUACCUAUCAAAGAAAUAUCAGAAACCUUCCAAACUGAAGGACAUGUGUAUCCAGAUUAAAAUGACCUUCCAAAUGCUUAACAUAGUAAACAAAAAACAGGAGGAAAAGGAGGGGAGAAAAGAAAAAAAGAAGACUCACACAAGGCCGUGUUACGACAUUUCAUCAUACCAUAGAUAAAUCAGAUCCUGAAAGAUUUCAGAAAGGAAUAUGAGAUCACACAUAAAGGAACAGGAAUCAAAAUGACAUUACCCUUCUCAACAACACUGGAAGCUCCAAGAGAGUGCAGCAAUGCUUUCAUCCUCAGAGAAAAUAAUUAUCAAUACAAAAUAAUAUUCCCAGCUAAGCUAUCAAUCAUGAGGGUAGAAGAAAGGCAUUUUUAGCCAUUGCGUGGGAGUGCUAUAAUAAUGGUCCCAGUGAACCACACCUCCC
rnacentral:lncRNA from 10 species